GUGCAGCAGUCGCGAAACCUCCGCAAUACACGAAAGUGUGACGGGGUUACCCAAAGUGUCCAAAUUUGGACUGUGGUAGGUGAGUAAUGUCCCCUACUAGAAAGGAGAGGGCAAGGCUGGUGCCAGCCGCCGCGGUAAAACCAGCUCUUCAAGUGGUCGGGAUAAUUAUUGGGCUUAAAGUGUCCGUAGCCGGUUUAGUAAGUUCCUGGUAAAAUCGGGGUAGCUUAACUAUCUGUAUGCUAGGAAUACUGCUAUACUAGAGGGCGGGAGAGGUCUGAGGUACUACAGGGGGUAGGGGUGAAAUCCUGUAAUCCUUGUAGGACCGCCAGUGGCGAAGGCGUCAGACUGGAACGCGCCUGACGGUGAGGGACGAAAGCCAGGGGAGCGAACCGGGAUUAGAUA
rnacentral:rRNA from 1 species